rnacentral:tRNA from 1 species
GCCGUUGUAGCUCAGCGGUUGAGCAUUGACCUAGGAAUCAAGAGGCCGUGGGAUCAAUUCCCGUUCAGGGCG